rnacentral:rRNA from 1 species
CCUACGGGUGGCAGCAGUGAGGAAUAUUGGUCAAUGGGCGUAAGCCUGAACCAGCCAAGUCGCGUGAGGGAUGAAGGUUCUAUGGAUCGUAAACCUCUUUUAUAAGGGAAUAAAGUGUGGGACGUGUCCUAUUUGGUAUGUACCUUAUGAUUAAGGAUCGGCUAACUCCGUGCCAGCAGCCGCGGUAAUACGGAGGAUCCGAGCGUUAUCCGGAUUUAUUGGGUUUAAAGGGUGCGUAGGCGGCCUUUUAAGUCAGCGGUGAAAGUCUGUGGCUCAACCAUAGAAUUGCCGUUGAAACUGGGGGGCUGGAGUAUGUGUGAGGUAGGGGGAAUGCGUGGUGUAGGGGUAAAAUGCUUAGAUAUCACGCAGAACACCGAUUGCGAAGGCAGCCUGCUGAGCCAUGACUGACGCUGAUGCACGAAAGCGUGGGGAUCAAACAGGAUUAGAUACCCCUGUAGUC